UACGUAGGGGGCAAGCGUUGUCCGGAUUUAUUGGGCGUAAAGAGCGUGUAGGCGGCUUUACAGGUCCGUUGUGAAAACUCGAGGCUCAACCUCGAGACGCCGGUGGAAACCGUAAAGCUAGAGUCCGGAAGAGGAGAGUGGAAUUCCUGGUGUAGCGGUGAAAUGCGCAGAUAUCAGGAGGAACACCAAUUGCGAAGGCAGCUCGCUGGGACGUUACUGACGCUGAGACGCGAAAGCGUGGGGGAGCAAACAGG
rnacentral:rRNA from 1 species